AGCUCUCAGUUCAGUCAAGCAGUCUUUCACGCAUGCAAUGUUCUGUCCAGAAGGACUAAUGACUCCAUUUAGGGUUAAAACCAACUACUUUGUCCAUCUAAAGGUGACACUGAACCAGUUCAACAGAGGCCCACCACUUUGAUUCUAUUUUGAAGGUGCCCAUGAUGAAAAGGCCUUUUACACCGUAUGAAGUGGACCUGUAAACUUGGUACUUUUUUCUGUGGAAAUCUAUUUCAGAUCCAAACAAUCCUUGCAUGUCCAUCUGAGAGAUCAUGGACUCAAUGAAAACACUAAUGGACUAAUAAGCUUUAAGCCUGGUAUUUGGAGCACCUUCGUUGUUACGAAUUCUGCAAGAAAGAUCCAGAUCAACUGAUGGCCACUGAACCCAGUGAACUAAACCACUACCUUCCACUGUCAUCCUACGCUGUCCAAGGCCGACUGGUGAUUUCUCCAAAGGUGUUUCUUGUACAUUGAGACAACCUUGUAAUGUAGCAAGUUGGUGAAAUGAUGAACAUCACAUUCCCCCUACGAAGAAAAGAAAUAGUUGAAAAUCAACCUCUUGCGGCUGAAGUCAAAGAAGGGUGGCCAGCCCUGUUCAAAGAACAGCAGGCACAUUUCGAUUUUUCUCUUUCACACAUUUGUCAACUUUUUGUCUUUUUUAAAAAGUUGUGUA